GACGUAGGGCGCGAGCGUUGUCCGGAUUUAUUGGGCGUAAAGAGCUCGUAGGCGGCUUGUCGCGUCGAAUGUGAAAACUCGGGGCUCAACCCCGCGCUUGCAUUCGAUACGGGCAGGCUCGAGUUCGGUAGGGGAGACUGGAAUUCCUGGUGUAGCGGUGAAAUGCGCAGAUAUCAGGAGGAACACCGGUGGCGAAGGCGGGUCUCUGGGCCGAUACUGACGCUGAGGAGCGAAAGCAUGGGUAGCGAACAGG
rnacentral:rRNA from 1 species